rnacentral:rRNA from 1 species
GGACUACCGGGGUAUCUAAUCCUGUUUGCUCCCCUAGCUUUCGUCUCUCAGCGUCAGUUGCGAUCCAGUGAGCCGCCUUCGCCACGGGUGUUCCUGCAGAUAUCUACGCAUUUCACCGCUACACCUGCAAUUCCACUCACCUCUCUCGCACUCCAGCACGGCAGUUUCGGAAGCAGCCCCUGAGUUAAGCCCAGAGAUUUCACUCCCGACUUGCCACACCGCCUACAGACCCUUUACGCCCAGUUAUUCCGAGCAACGCUGGCCCCCUACGUCUUACCGCGGCUGCUGGCAC